CAGAUAAACCCAAGGUAUACCAGGGUGUGCGUGUGAAGACCACUGUUAAGGAGUUACUGCAGAAGCACAGAGCCCUGCAGGCACAGACAACCGCAACGAAAUCACAAGCCAUGGCUGCUCACGAUGUCUGCUCUACGACCAUGAAUACCCACCUUGAUGUCUUUGGAAUGCAAGCUCCAGAGCCCUAUUUCCAGACACGUCCCUUUACCGAAAAUGUCAAUAUCCCGAUGGAGAAUGCUUAUGAUCAUCAACAGAUGAUGCACUUGAUGCCACCUGAGACUUUCAGCGGCAGUAAUUUCGUGUAUCCCACUUCUUCGCAGUGGUCUAAUGGAUAUAUACCUUCUAAUACGGACCUCUAUGGUACUAGCCUGGUAUCGAGAUCACCCUCAGACUCAUUCAAUCUCCCAAGUCCAGUCGACUACAACAGUUACUCUCCCCCUCAGUCCAAAUCUUCAUCUUCUUCGUGCUACAGCUCUCCAGCGCGGAUGGAUUUGAGCUCCAGUUUCUCUCCAGAAAAUUACCACUAUCAGCAUUGCAACCUACAGCAUUGCUUUUGUCUGUCGCAUUGGUCCAAUGUGCAGGAAGGCAUGGCAACCUCGGAGUUUGCGCCCUACGGCUCAUCAGACUGUUUGUAUUCAUAUGGCGACGACAGUAAUUUCAGAAGGGAUACUUCAAACUCAGAGAUGUGUUACUUAAAAAAUGCAUUUUGAAGCACUUUGCGCGAAUAUUCAGUGUCAUAAUUGAUUCAUUUGAAUGCAUGUGUUGUAUUUUAGUUUAGAUAAAAGAACAAGCAGUGAUAGAAUGAAUGAUUUACAAAUAAUUCAUUUAUCUUUUCUACAAUAAACAUAUUUUUUUCGUAAUUAUACUGGCAUUGGGGAAAUAUUUCAGAUUUACAGCGUGCAGUUUCUGUUUAGCUCUUGAAAUGUACAUCGGAGCUUCUAUAGUUUUUUUUAACGUACAAAUAGAGCUGUGGCACUGAGGGCUCAUUUAUUGUUUUGCAUAUCAACAUUCGACAUUAUGAAAAAUACCAGAAGAAAGCUUUACAAUUUGUUACUUAUGAAAACGGAUUUUGUCCUGUAACUAGCUGUUAACAUUUUUCUUUGCGC
rnacentral:lncRNA from 1 species